rnacentral:rRNA from 1 species
UACAGAGGUCUCAAGCGUUGUUCGGAUUCAUUGGGCGUAAAGGGUGCGUAGGUGGCGCCGUAAGUCAGGUGUGAAAUUUCGGAGCUUAACUCCGAAACUGCAUUUGAUACUGCGGUGCUUGAGGACUGGAGUGGAGACUGGAAUUUACGGUGUAGCAGUGAAAUGCGUAGAGAUCGUAAGGAAGACCAGUGGCGAAGGCGGCCUGCUGGGCAGUUACUGACACUGAGGCGCGACAGCGUGGGGAGCAAACAGG